CCUACGGGCGGCUGCAGUGAGGAAUAUUGGACAAUGGGCGCGAGCCUGAACCAGCCAAGUAGCGUGAAGGAUGACUGCCCUACGGGUUGUAAACAUCUUUUAUAAAGGAAUAAAGUGAGGCACGUGUGCCUUUUUGUAUGUACUUUAUGAAUAAGGAUCGGCUAACUCCGUGCCAGCAGCCGCGGUAAUACGGAGGAUCCGAGCGUUAUCCGGAUUUGUUGGGUUUAAAGGGAGCGUAGACGGGUGGUUAAGUCAGGUGUGAAAGUUUGCGGCUCAACCGUAAAAUUGCAAUUGAUACUGGCAGUCUUGAGUACAGUUGAGGUAGGCGGAAUUCGUGGUGUAGCGGUGAAAUGCUUAGAUAUCUCGAAGAACUCCGAUUGCGAAGGCAGCUUACUAAACUGCCACUGACAUUGAUGCUCGAAAGUGUGGGUAGCAAACAGGAUUAGAUACCCGAGUAGUC
rnacentral:rRNA from 1 species